UACGUAGGGUGCGAGCGUUGCCCGGAUUUAUUGGGCGUAAAGGGCGCGUAGGCGGCUACGCACGUCCGUUGUGAAAUCGCUCGGCUCAACUGGGCGGGGUCAGCGGAUACGGCGUAGCUGGAGCAAGCUAGGGGGCAAUGGAAUUCCCGGUGUAGUGGUGGAAUGCGUAGAUAUCAGGAGGAACACCGGUGGUGUAGACGGCUCACUGGACCAUAACUGACGCUGAGACACGAAAGCGUGGGUAGCAAACAGG
rnacentral:rRNA from 1 species